GACGAAGGGGGCUAGCGUUGUUCGGAAUUACUGGGCGUAAAGCGCGUGUAGGCGGUUGUCCAAGUUGGAUGUGAAAGCCUUGAGCUCAACUCAAGAAAUGCAUUCAGGACUGGAUGACUAGAGGACCGGAGAGGAUAGUGGAAUUCCCAGUGUAGUGGUGAAAUACGUAGAGAUUGGGAAGAACACCAGUGGCGAAGGCGGCUAUCUGGACGGUUUCUGACGCUAAGACGCGAAAGCAUGGGGAGCAAACAGG
rnacentral:rRNA from 1 species